rnacentral:siRNA from 1 species
UUUGUUCACCUUUUUUGGCCUCA